GCCUGGGUGGCUCAGGUGGUUAAGCAUCCGACUUUGGCUCAGGUCAUGAUUUCAUGGUUUGCGGGUUCAAGCCCCGCGUCAGGCU
rnacentral:tRNA from 1 species